GUAGAGGUUUGGCGUGUGGCCUGCGGGUUCCCCGGGCGGGUCGACGUGCGCUCCUCUCUGGUCUCGAGUCACCAGGACCAGAUCGAGGAUGCGGCCGACCCCCUGCCCGAUGUGGAAAGCGAAGUCUCCACCUCGUGAUUGGGUCUCUGCUGUCAGAGAGCUUCACGAGCUUGAGGGGAAACAGACAGAGAGGUCUGGGCAUUGGGCAGUUUCCCGCCUCCCAGCCCCGCGCACUGAACAGACUGUGACCAGAACUGCGAACAAAGCGCGGAGGGAAGCUCUUAAAGGAGGCCAAAGCGGCCGGGCGCUGUGGCUCACACCUGUAACCCCAGCCUGUAAGCCUAGCUACUCGGGAGGCCGAGGCAGAAGGAGCGCUUGAAGCCAGGAGUUGGAAGCUGCAGUAAUCCGUGAUCGGACCGUUGCACUCUAGCCUGGGCAACAUAACGUCCUUUGAAAAAAAAAAAAAAAACAGAGGCCAAAACGGGUAGCAGUGGUGCCCGGGCACCAAGGAUGGAAGGCCUCUCUGAGGAGGUGAUGCCGAGCUGAAGCUGGGAAGCGGAUGUGAGGGAAGAGUUCCAGGCAGAGGGAAGGCAAAUGCAGAGAUCCUCAGGCAGGAACACUGAACUGUUCUCCGUAUUUGAGGAGCAGAGGGCGUGUCAGUGGUGGCCGCAGCAGCUGAGCAAAGGUCUUAGAAUCCCAGCUAAUGUCGUGGGACCUAGCACCCAAUCCCAAAAGAAAGAAGAAUAGAUAGGAACCCACUGUUGACAAGAAGGUGCACUGAGAAGUGUUUUUAUCUGACCCGAUCUGCAUCCAGUUUAGAAGCCGAUACAUCAGGGAUUUAACAAUCUGUCUUAAUGUCUAGCAAGGGGGGUUGCUGGAGGGAAAACACAGAGUCAGAGUUCUAUCUUCAGCCCUGCCAGCAGGUCCCUGGGAGAUGCUAGACGAGUGACUUUUCUCUGGGCGUGGUUGGUGUAAGGGAUGCACACGCAGGAGGAAGGUCGGAGUGUAAAUGUGUGACCUGGGCCUGUUACUGGGUAUAAAUGGGCCUGUAGUGACCGGGAGCUCAUGUUCUACCAAAGGGGUUGCCAAUUUUCUGAUUUCGAGUGUGGCGGUGUAAAAGAGAAAAGCAACUGCUGCCAGCUGGGAGCUGGUUUGCACCCUCACUCCAGAAGCCUUGAUGUUGCUAGGAGCUGACCUGGCACCAACAGCACGGCCAUGGUGGUGUCCUGUUGAGCAAAAUAAUUUCACAAAAAACAUCAGACAAGGUCACUCUCUGACUGAUCUAGAAAAAGACCAUUCCAUAAUAAAGCCUCAAUACAGAAACAAGAACAUUGUCCAAACCACAAAAAUUACCAACACAAUCCUCUCUCCCACAGCGUAAGUUACUGCUGCUUUUUUUUUGGUUGUUGUUUUUGUUUGUUUUGUUUUGUUUUUGAAAUGAAGUCUUGCUCUGUUACCCAGGCUGGAGUGCAGUGAUGCAAUCUUGGCUUACCACAACCUCCACCUCCAGGUUCAAGCGAUUCUCCUGCCUCAGCUUCCAGAGUAUCUGGGAUUACAGGCACCCACCAUCAUGCCCAGAUCAUUUCUGUAUUUUUAGUAGAGACGGGGAUUCACCAAGUUGCCCAGGUGCUUCCUGGUGGUCCUUGGUUGGAGGGUACUAUCAGAAAUGGAGGAGCAACAAAGAUUCAGCUGAAGCCCUCACUGCCUGGGACUGGGACCCUUGACUCGUCAUUGUAUGCACACCUGAAACUGCUUAUGUCGCUGAGGUGCCAACCUGCUGAUGGUUGGAAGCUAAUUGAGUUCUGAUAUUGUGUUGAUACCCUUAAGCAUUGGGUUUACUUUUUAUUUUAAUUAAUUAAUUAAUUAAUUUUUGAGACAGAGUUUCACUCUUGUUGCCCAGGCUGAAGUGCAAUGACACGAUCUCGGCUCACCGCAACCUCCGCCUCCUGGGUUCAAGCAGUUCUUCUGCCUCAGCCUCUUGAGUAGCUGGGAUUACAGGCAUGCACCACCACACCUGGCUAAUUUUAUAUUUGUAGUAGAGACAGUUUCUCCAUGUUUGUCAGGCUGGUCUCAAACUCCUGACCUCAGGUGAUCCACCCGCCUCGGCCUCCCAAAGUGCUAGGAUUACAGGCGUGAGCCACCAUGCCUGGCCAUAUUUUUUAUUUUUCAUUUUUUACUUUUUGAGAUAGGGUCUCACUCUGUUGACCAGGCUGGAGUGCAGUGGUACGACUCAGCUCACUGCAACCUCUGCUUCCCAGCUCAAGUGAUUCUCCAGUUUCAGCCUCCUGAGUAGCUGGCACUAAAAUUAACCAAUGCCGGUUAAUUUUUUUUUUUUUUUUUGGCGGGGGACAGAGUCUCGCUCUGUCUCCCAGAGUGGAGUGCAGUGGCGCUAUCUCUGCUCCCUGCAAGCUCUGCCUCCCGGGUUCAAGCAAUUCUCCUGCCUCAGCCUUCUGAGUAGCUAGGGUUACAGGCAUGCGCCACCACACCUGGCUAAGUUUUGUAUUUUUAGCAAAGAUGGGGUUUCUCCAUGUUGGUCAGGCUGGUCUCAAACUCCUGACCCCAUGAUCUGCUCACCUUGGCCUCCCAAAGUUCUGGGAUUACAGGCAUGAGCCACCACACCCAGGAAUGCCGGUUAAGUUUUAUAUAUAUAUUUUUUUGUAGAGAUAGGGUUUCACUCUGUUACCCAGGCUGGUCUCAAACUCCUGAGCUCAAAGCAAUCCUCCCACCUUGGCUUCCCAAAGUGCUGGGAUUAUAGAUGUGAGCCACCAUGCCCUGCCAAGCAUUGGGUUUAUUUGGUUUUUCAGUUUUUUUACUCCUGGAAUAAGGCCCCCACACUGGAUUUUUGGUUAUCUGAUCAAAUAUUUAUUUUGUCCUUGGUGCAAUUGUUUUCUGUCCUUCUACACUCAUUCCUAUGGUGUUUUCUUGUCUAGUAUUUUGAAUAUUGUUUGUCUAUAAGAGGCAAAGUCGAUAUAAAAAGGAUGGAUGUAGGCUGGGCGCGGUGGCUCAGGCCUGUAAUCCCAGCAACUUUGGGAGGCUGAGGUGGGUGGAUCACCUGAGAUCAGGAGUUCAAGACCAGCCUGGCCAAAAUGGUGAAACCCCGACUACUAAAAAUGCAAAAAAUUAGCUGGGUGUGGUGGCAGGUGCCUGUAAUCCCAGCUACUUGGGAGGCCAAGGCAGGAGAAUCGCUUGAACUUGGGAGGCAGAGGUUGCAGUGAGCCGAGUUCGUGCCAUGGCACUCCAGCCUGGGCGACAGAGAAAAAAAAAAAAAAGUCUCUGUCUCAAAAAAAAAAAAAAAAGAAAAGAAAAGGAUGGAUGUGUAGCCUCGGAUGUCUAAGGGCAUCACAAACCUAUUAUUGCUGAAUCUCUGGUGACCGAACACAACUUAUCCCUCUAGGAAGGUAGGGAUGCCAACUGUUGAGGGGUUGUGCAACUAGUUAGCAUCCGAGAGUCUUAUUUGUUAUCAGAAUUAACCAGAGAAAUCACUCCAGCAACCAAGAGCCAGUAAGUGUGUCCUACAACCAGCUCCAGAGACUGUACAAUUCGGAAGGUAUUCUCAGACUAAUGUCCUUUGGGUAAACUUUGCCCAGGUCACCAUUUCUUUUUUGUUUUUGUUUUUUGAGACAGAGUUUUACUCUUGUUGCCUGCUGAAGUGCAAUAGGACAAUCUCAGCUCAGCUGCAACCUCCACUUCCCGGGUUCAAGUGAUUCUCAUGCCUCAGCCUCCUGAGUAGCUGGGAUUACAGGUGCCUGCUACCAUGUCCGGCUAAUUUUUGUAUUUUUGAUAGAGACAGGGUUUCACCAUGUUGGCCAGGUUAGUCUCGAACUCCUGACCUCAGGUGAUCCACCCACCUCUGGCUCCCAAAGUGUUGGGAUUACAGGCAUGAGCCACCACGCCCAGCCCCAGGUCACCAUUUCAAAGCCUUGAAAAGGAUUUCUUUGGUUUUGUCUAUGUCCUUGCAAACUGCUUUGUUUCAUUUCUUCUGCUCAGUAUCAGGGGGCUUUCUCUGGCCUCUGAUCAGCGAUGGUGUUUGGCCACAUUCUAGAGAUACGAAGUUGUAUAAGCACCAUUCUUUUAGACCCCAGUCACAACUAAAAUUGGGCCAAAGACCUGCUCCCUUCAUGUUUUCUCACGAUUGCAAUAACAUGUACCCAUAUAUCUGUAACUGACACAAUUUCACCAGGGACAGUUUGUAAUUGCCGUAGCCAUUUGGUGGAACUUUUGAUAAUAACAAGAUUGUUCAUUUGGGAGGUGCCUCAGAACACAAAGGGAAGAAACCUUUGUGAGAUUGUUUGCCUUGUUUGUUAAAAACAAAGAUUAUUUUGUUUAACAUAGGCAAUAUUUCAUUUACCUAUUUUGCAUAUUAAUAAAUGCUGUCGGCCAGGCACAGUGGCUGACACCUGUAAUCCCAGCACUUUGGGAGGCUGAGGCGGGCGAAUCACUUGAGGUCAGGAGUUUGAGACCAGCCUGGCCAACAUGGUGAAACCCCGUCUCUACUAAAUAUACAAAAAUCAGCCAGGCUUGGUGGUGCGCACCUGUAAUCCCAGCUACUUUGGAGGCUGAAGCAGGAGAAUUGUUUGAGUCCAUGAAGUGGAGGCUACAGUGAACUGAGAUCAUGCCAUUGUACUCCAGCCUGGGCAACAAGAGCAAAACUCCAUCUAAAAAAAAAAGAAGGCCCUCACCAGAUGUGGCUGCUUGACUUUGGAAUUCCCACCCUCCAGAACUGUAAGAAAUAAAUUUUUAAAAAUAAAGUACCCAGCCCCUCAGGUAUUCUAUUGCAACACAGAAUGGACUAAGACAGUGUUUAUAUGUCAAAAUCUAUUUUCCUGUGUUUAAACUGUCUUCCUUCUCCUUGCAGAGGGAAUAUAACCUUAGCCUUUUGGAGUGAUAAUUUCAUGUUUGUCUGAAGUAGCUUCUUCUCACAUUUUCUUUUUUUUUUUUUUUAUGUUCAAAAUGCUUUUAUUUCUAGGAAUUUAGUUUUAUUUUUAAUUUUUUAAUUAUUAUACUUUAAGUUUUAGGGUACAUUUGCACAACGUGCAGGUUUGUUACAUAUGUAUACAUGUGCCAUGUUGGUGUGCUGCACCCAUUAACUCGUCAUUUAGCAUUAGGUAUAUCUCCUAAUGCUAUCCCUCCCCCCUCCCCCCACCCCACAACAGUCCCCGGUGUGUAAUGUUCCUCUUUCUGUGUCCAUGUGUUCUCAUUGUUCAAUUCCCACCUAUGAGUGAGAACAUGUGGUGUUUGGUUUUUUGUCCUUGCCAUAGUUUGCUGAGAAUGAUGGUUUCCAGCUUCAUCCAUGUCUCUACGAAGGACAUGAAUUCAUCAAUUUUUAUGGCUGCAUAGUAUUCCAUGGUGUAUAUGUGCCACAUUUUCUUAAUCCAGUCUAUCAUUGUUGGACAUUUGGCUUGGUUCCAAGUCUUUGCUAUUGUGAAUGGUGCCACAAUAAACAUAUGUGUGCAUGUGUCUUUAUAGCAGCAUGAUUUAUAAUCCUUUGGGUAUAUACCCAGUAAUGGAAUGGCCGGGUCAAAUGGUAUUUCUAAUUCUAGAUCACUGAGGAAUCGCCACACCAGCUUCCACAAUGGUUGAAGUAGUUUACAGUCCCACCAACAGUGUAAAAGUGUUCCUAUUUCUCCACAUCCUCUCCAGCACCUGUUGUUUCCUGACUUUUUAAUGAUCGCCAUUCUAACUGGUGUGAGAUGGUAUCUCAUUGUCUUCUCACACUUUCCUGCUGUCCAUUUCAUUCUCUUUUUCCUCACCUCUCUUGGAAAGCUUUAAAG
rnacentral:lncRNA from 1 species